CGGCGCGCGUGGGCGGUGGCUCCGCGUCUCCUGCUCUCACGUAGGGAUCUCGUCCUGCACGAGAGUUCAGCGUCAGGGCUUCGCGCGAGCGCUCUUCCGCGCAGCUGGCUCCCAGCCGGGCGGAACCUCAGAUUUCUGUCGCGCUUUUCCUUUAGUGCAGCCGCGACGAGCAUCGCGAACAUUGUGUUCCGCGCGCGGGCGGGGCGGGGCCGAGCCUGACGCGUUUUGACCGCAGCCAGUCCUUGGGAGGCUUGGAGGAGGACGUGCUUGUCUUCCGGGGCGCCGGCCGCGGUGAGGCGAAGGAGCGCUAGUCCGUUCCGUUCCCCUGGUGGUUCUGUGCUGCAGCGAACGUGCGCUGUCGGGCCUCUCGCGGAGCUUUUCCUGGGGUUUACAGUGUGGUGAGGGGCAGCCAUUAGUCGCAAGCAUGGGGUCGCUAGAGGAGACCUCACGCUGAAUGGGGGGGUUCUCUGAGAAGUGUCAGCGCCCCUUGGUGAGGGUGAACUUCGGGAGACAGCUCCUAACUUGUUCGUAGGACAUAAUCAGUCUGUAUGGCGAAUUGAUGCGAAGCAUCAACGACUGUGCCACCGGGGAGUUGCGGCUAAAUUAGAAUCCCGUAGUAGAACCUUGAAUUGAGGCAUAUUGCCAAUACUGUAUCACACAGGAGCAGCUGCUGAUCACAUCAGACCACCCUGUUCUGCUCAGAUUUGCCUGUUCUGGACAUUUCACAAAAAGGGAAUCAUAGGACAUGUGGACUUUUGUGUCUGAUUUCUUUCAUUUAGCACAGCGUUUUCAAGGUUCAUACAUGUUAUAGCAUGAAUAGGUGUUUCAUUACUUUUUAAUGGCUAAAUAAUAUUCCCCUGCAUGGAUAGUCCACAUUUUUGUAUAUCCAUUCAUCACUUGAUGAACAUUUGGGUUGUUUCUUCUUUCUUGCUAUUAUGAAUAAAGUUACUAGGAACAUUCAUGUACAUGUUUUUUUCUUGGGACAUAUGAUUUGA